GGGCUUGCUUCGGAAUCACUGUGAGAAUUGGUUGAAAGGCUUUAGCAUGAACCCGGGGCACGCUUCUAUCCCGGUGGCAGAGCUUACCGCACUCCGUCAAGGGCUACAAUUAGCCCUUUCAGGAAACUGUGCGCACAAAUGAGUGAGGUUCGACCCACACACAUUUACAAGGAGACAAAUGGAUGAGUUGAUGUUCUAGCAAAGAUGGGGAGAGAUCAAAAUGCAAGUUUAGUAAUUUUUGACUUAGCACCUAUUUUACUUUCUCAGAUGUUGUUUUUAAAUGUAAAUGGAACUUAUUUCCUAUGUA